CCAAUAGCGUAUAUUAAAGUUGUUGCAGUUAAAAAGCUCGUAGUUGAAUUUCGGGAUUGGCGUGUCGGUCGUGCCUUACGGGGUAUGAACUGGCGUCGUCGAUUUCUCACCUUCUGGAGAAUCACGAUGCCCUUAAUUGGGUGUCGUGUGGAACCAGGACCUUUACCUUGAAAAAAUUAGAGUGUUUAAAGCAGGCAUUUUUGCUCGAAUACAUUAGCAUGGAAUAAUAAAAUAGGACGGUUUGGUUCUAUUUUGUUGGUUUCUAGGAUCACCGUAAUGAUUAAUAGGGAUAGUUGGGGGCAUUAGUAUUCAAUUGUCAGAGGUGAAAUUCUUGGAUUUAUUGAAGACUAACUACUGCGAAAGCAUUUGCCAAGGAUGUUUUCAUUAAUCAAGAACGAAAGUUAGGGGAUCGACGACGAUCAGAUACCGUCGUAGUCUUAACCAUAAACUAUGCCGACUAGGAAUCAGACGAUGUUAAUUUUUUAAUGACUCGUUUGGCACCUUACG
rnacentral:rRNA from 1 species